rnacentral:rRNA from 1 species
GGGGUGGGCAAGUUCUGGUGUCAGCCGCCGCGGUAAAACCAGCACCUCAAGUGGUCAGGAGGAUUAUUGGGCCUAAAGCAUCCGUAGCCUGCUCUGUAAGUUUUCGGUUAAAUCCAUGUGCUCAACGCAUGGGCUGCCGUAAAAUCUGCAUAGCUAGGGAUUGCGAGAGAGUGACGGUACUCGGUAGGAAGGGGUAAAAUCCUUUGAUCUAUCGAUGACCACCUGUGGCGAAGGCGGUCUACCAGAACACGUUCGACGGUGAGGGAUGAAAGCUGGGGGAGCAAACCGGAUUAGAUACCCGGGUAGUCCCAGCUGUAAACGAUGCAGACUCGAUGAUGCAAUGGCAUAGAGCUAUUGCAGUGUCGCAGGGAAGCCGUUAAGUCUGCCGCCUGGGAAGUACGUACGCAAGUAUGAAACUUAAAGGAAUUGGCGGGGGAGCACCACAAGGGGUGAAGCCUGCGGUUCAAUUGGA